rnacentral:rRNA from 1 species
UGGGGAAUUGUUCACAAUGGGCGCAAGCCUGAUGACGCAAUGCCGCGUGGAGGAUGAAGGUCUUCGGAUUGUAAACUCCUGUUGCCAGGGACGAAUGGCUCCGACCUAAUACGUCGGAGAAUGACGGUACCUGGUGAGGAAGCCCCGGCUAACUCUGUGCCAGCAGCCGCGGUAAUACAGAGGGGGCAAGCGUUGUUCGGAAUUACUGGGCGUAAAGGGCGCGUAGGCGGCCAUCUAAGUCAGACGUGAAAUCCCCCGGCUUAACCUGGGAACUGCGUCUGAUACUGGACGGCUUGAGUAUGGGAGAGGGAUGUAGAAUUCCAGGUGUAGCGGUGAAAUGCGUAGAUAUCUGGAGGAAUACCGGUGGCGAAGGCGGCAUCCUGGACCAUUACUGACGCUGAGGCGCGAAAGCUAGGGGAGCAAA